rnacentral:lncRNA from 1 species
GGAUGGAAUAUGUUAUUUUUAAGGGAUAACUCCUGCAGAAAGCGAUUUUCAUGGAAACAGCAAGGGACGUUGAAUCUGAAGGACUGUCCGACAGGGGUCGUCUUCUUUGCCACUCGCUCCUCGGAAACACGAAGGGAGCAACGGACGUGAGUGGUGGACUCGUUUCGGUUGUUUUCGUGACGAUCAGAGUCAUUGUAGCAUCUGUGUUCAUUGAUCAAGAAUCUGGAUGUUUGUCAUUACCUGCCUUGGCAACAUGUUUGCGGCUGUCUUACUCAUAUCAUGCUUCAUAAACCUCGCCUGGGAGGCAGAUUGUAAGGCUCUCUCUGCUACAACUACAUCCACCGCCGCUACAACCAAUGCAGCCACUGCGAUUCCUGUCUGGAGCUCUGUUAGUGCUGGCGUAGUCCAGGAAGUCGAGUCCAGCAAUUCCCCUGGAAUUUUUCAUUUGGAGAGCUUACCGGCAGAUUUUAACAGGUACGACCAUGAUGGUGAUGGUUUCAUCAGUGUGCUGGAGCUCGCGGCAGUGAGCCACACUCGCUUCGACAACGCAAGAAGACCUCUGGACAGUGCGGACCAAGACGGAGACAAGGAGCUUUCUCGAAGGGAGUUUGAACAAGCACCCUGGGUUUUUAACAUUCCCUCCGACAUCGUAAACCCUGCUCGAGAAGAUGACAAUGGGAGAGUCAUCAUUGAGAGAAAACCACGGAUGGACUGAUCACUCGACAAACAUGGAAUUAGCAGAGCUGGAAACGCCGGAUAUAAAGAAGGAUUGCUUUUAUCCCUGCAAGACGAGUGCAGACACAAGGCUGUAUGCUCAAAAAUCCUCAAAAUACAGAUGACAUUGCCAAGAAUGAUUAUCCAAAACAUCAAAAGAAACAAUAAUUUUAUCAUUGCCUGCAUCUUUGCCUUGCGCUGCUGAGGAAAAAUUGCCGUGGGAUGCCACUGAGGAAAGGGGGUGGAGACAUUCACCUGGGCGAGGCUUGCUUGGACCCACCCCCUUGGAACAGUCAGGGAAAGAGGCUCGGAGAAACGGAAUUUAGGUUUUCUGGAAACGGAAUUUGUGCUUUGCAGGUACAUUUUGUCUCCCCAGUAAGGCAUGCUGUCAUCAUAUAUUAAAAGGGUGUAAAAUGACUGUUAUACAAGACUGCACUGGGUUUAUCGUUGCAUCGUGAAUUUAACCCACAUGAGACAGACAAUCGCUGUCUCCCUCGCAGCUUCUUAUGUAAACUGUUACUCAUCUAAAUCCAAUCGAUGUAUCAACAAUAUGAUAAUUACUUUGUUUUCUAAGCUCCAGAUUCACCCCAUAACAUUUGUCAUUGAAUUGAAAUCAUAAAUUCUGCCUCUUAGCGUUGCCUCGAAACCAAUUACAAUGUAAACGAUCGUUUAUUUUACAACUUUUGACAUAUUCACAUUAAAAAUUACAAUACUUGUAAACUGUUGAAUAAACAGCUCAUUCUAAUCACUCGUUCUUGAUUUGCUUGAGUUUUUGUUUUAUUUCCGAACAAGCAAAUACAACCCGUCGCUUCGCUGAUGGGAAUAUUAAAGGGGGGGAGUGGGGUAGGGGGGGAGUAAGAAAGAGGAAAGGGAGAGAGGGGGGGGGGGGAGGGGGGGAGUAAGAAAGAGGAAAGGGAGAGAGGAGGGAGG